UGGGGAAUUUUGCGCAAUGGGGGAAACCCUGACGCAGCAACGCCGCGUGGAGGAUGAAGUACUUCGGUACGUAAACUCCUUUCGAUCGGGACGAUUAUGACGGUACCGAGAGAAGAAGCCCCGGCUAACUUCGUGCCAGCAGCCGCGGUAAUACGAGGGGGGCGAGCGUUGUUCGGAAUUAUUGGGCGUAAAGGGUGCGUAGGCGGUUUGGUAAGUCUGAUGUGAAAUCUAUGGGCUCAACUCAUAGUCUGCAUCGGAAACUGCCGGGCUUGAGUAUGGGAGAGGUGAGUGGAAUUCCUGGUGUAGCGGUGAAAUGCGUAGAUAUCAGGAGGAACACCUGUGGCGAAAGCGGCUCACUGGACCAUAACUGACGCUGAUGCACGAAAGCUAGGGGAGCAAACAGGAUUAGAUACCCUGGUAGUCCUAGCCCUAAACGAUGACUGCUUGGUGUGACGGGUACCCAAUCCCGCCGUGCCGUAGCUAACGCGUUAAGCAGUCCGCCUGGGGAGUACGGUCGCAAGGCUGAAACUUAAAGGAAUUGACGGGGUCAUAGCUGUUUCCU
rnacentral:rRNA from 1 species